UGUGCACAUUGUUCGAGCUUAGAGUUGAGGCCACUGGCCAGUGAACUCACUAGUGUAGGUAGUGUGCUACGUGAGGGGUAAUUGUUUUGCUAACACCACAGGGGUCUCUGGCCUAAUGAGUGAAGUUUGAUAGUAUUCUUUGCUACAAUA
ensembl:snoRNA SNORA62 Small nucleolar RNA SNORA62/SNORA6 family